AGGAAGGGUGAUCUUCAGAGUGUGUUGGUUUCCCUGAUCUGGCACACCAGCCUUGCAUUCCCAUGCUCUGCGAAAGCUAUCCGGGUGCAUAGGACUCUCCAAAGACAGUUUCACUGGGGAAGCCUGUCCUGGUCUGGCUAGCUUCGAAGGUGGCUGAGAUGAGGAGGACCAGGUUCAGUUCUGAGACCAAGUCCUGUUGUGGCUGUGCUACCUCUGAGACCGGAUCCAUCACAGAGCGCUGGCAGACAUGGCCCCUUGUGUCAUUGGCUUUGUGACUUUAAUGAACUUGGCUGGUACAGACACGGGUUCAGAAUAGAGUAGACAGAGCCUCUCUGGGUUGCCACCUAAAGCAGUGUAUUUGUUACUUUCCUAUCACUGUGAUAAAACACUGUGACCGAGAAGACUUACAGAAAGAUGGGUUUAUUUGGGCUGAUGGUUCCAGAUGGAUGAGAGUCCACCGCCAUCAUGGUGGGAGGCAUGGCAGCCAGGUCAUGGCACUGGAGCAACAGGCUGAGAGCUCACAUCUUGUUAGAGAAAAGGCUUGUUCCUAGACAGAUCACGCCAAGUCAGCACAGUUCCUUUAUUGAAAGAGGGGAAGAAGCUAGGAAGAGAAAGAGAGAGAUGGGUCAGGGUCUCUAUCUUUUGUCCGGGCUGUGACGCAGGUAACCCAGGUGGUGAUGAGCACAGGUGAUGCAUGCACAGGGAGUGUGCCGUGGUUGCCAUGGCAACAGACGCAGGAGUUCCUUGUCACCUAGGGAUGAUGUCAUCCCUGGAUUCAGAGGCUAGCUGUAAACAGCUUCUGAUGCUAGCAGCAUGUGAGUCUUUAAACUCUCAAAGCCUACAUCUUACCAAGAGGAAGAGUCCUCUCCAAGAGGACCACACCUCCUAAACCUCCCCAAACAGCAUCACCUACUGAGGUCUGAGUGUUCAAAUACCCAAGACAAUGGAGGACAUCUCAGUCAAGCCACCACAGAUGGAAGAUUCUUCUCUACACCCAGACUGUGGCCACAGACAUUUGUUCCCUUUAACUGUAACAGUGUUUCACAUGACUCCGGGAUGGCUUUCACUGAGCAGGCGGAGGAAGGAGGAACCAAAGCGCCAGACAGAAAGCAAGAUGGUUCGUGGGUUCGGAGAAUUUUGCAGUGAUCCUGCAACAGCAACAAAGUCAUUUCGUGAUCAUCCCAUGAGCAGUGGCACCAACAGAGACACGCGCAGUGUGGACAGAGAUGUGUGUUAAAAUAAGGGAAAGGACCAGAGAGAUGGCUCAGCGGGUGACCGUGCUUACUGUGAGAGCCUAACUCACGGAACCCAUGGUGGAAGGAGAGAAAGAUGUCCUCUGACCUCUACCCAUGCACAGUGGACCAGGCACUGACAACAAUAAUAAAUAAUAGUAAUAAUGCAUAAAAA